UAGCCGUAAACGAUACUCGCUAGGUGUCGGCCACGGUGCGACCGUUGUCGGUGCCGUAGGGAAGCCGUGAAGCGAGCCACCUGGGAAGUACGGCCGCAAGGCUGAAACUUAAAGGAAUUGGCGGGGGAGCACCACAACGGGUGGAGCUUGCGGUUUAAUUGGAUUCAACGCCGGACAACUCACCAGGAGCGACGGUUACAUGAAGGCCAGGCUGAUGACCUUGCCUGAUUUUCCGAGAGGAGGUGCAUGGCGUAGUCGUGU
rnacentral:rRNA from 1 species